AGACAAGAUAACAGGGAGCGGGGGCUCCCACCGGCGGCGACCUUCGCCUGGACAGCCGUCUCCUGUGGGCGACCUUGGGCCGGCGGCCGGGGCUCCAAGCUUACCUCGGACACGAACGCUGCGCCAGUCUCCAGGCCGCGCUAUACAAGAAGCAUGGCACCAGCAUCUGCUUCUGGUGAACAGCUCAGGCUACUUCCAUUCCUGGUGGAAGGAAAAGGGGAACUGGCAUAUGCAGAGAUGACAUCCAAGAGGGAAAUCAAGAGAGAGAGGUGGGAGGUGCCAGGCUCUUUUUAACAACCAGUUAUCUUGGGAGCUAAUAGAGUAAGAACUCACUGAUACCUACCACCCCCAUCCUCCAUCUCGUCAUGAAGGGUCUGCCCCCAUGGUCCAUAUACCUCUCAUUAGGCCCCGCCGUCAACACUGGGGAUCACAUUUCAACAUGAGACUCAGAGGGGACAUACAAACCGUAUCCAAACUAUACGAGUGGCAAAUCGACAACAUCUACUUGUUCAUUCAAAAGAAAUAGUUGGUUAAAAACAUUAGAUGAUCCAUGGAUGUUUCAGCCUUUUCUUUCACUGACCUGGCGUACUGAAAAGCAAUAAAUUCCUUCCUAACUUAAAUAAAGUAAUGGUGGAUAUGCCUAAGGCCACAAAUC